GACGAACGCUGGCGGCGUGCUUAACACAUGCAAGUCGAACGGAAAGGCCCUGCUUUUGUGGGGUGCUCGAGUGGCGAACGGGUGAGUAACACGUGAGUAACCUGCCCUUGACUUUGGGAUAACUUCAGGAAACUGGGGCUAAUACCGGAUAGGAGCUCCUGCUGCAUGGUGGGGGUUGGAAAGUUUCGGCGGUUGGGGAUGGACUCGCGGCUUAUCAGCUUGUUGGUGGGGUAGUGGCUUACCAAGGCUUUGACGGGUAGCCGGCCUGAGAGGGUGACCGGCCACAUUGGGACUGAGAUACGGCCCAGACUCCUACGGGAGGCAGCAGUGGGGAAUAUUGCACAAUGGGCGGAAGCCUGAUGCAGCAACGCCGCGUGCGGGAUGACGGCCUUCGGGUUGUAAACCGCUUUCGCCUGUGACGAAGCGUGAGUGACGGUAAUGGGUAAAGAAGCACCGGCUAACUACGUGCCAACAGCCGCGGUGAUACGUAUGGUGCGAGCGUUGUCCAGAUUUAUUGGGCGUAAAGGGCUCGUAGGUGGUUGAUCGCGUCGGAAGUGUAAUCUUGGGGCUUAACCCUGAGCGUGCUUUCGAUACGGGUUGACUUGAGGAAGGUAGGGGAGAAUGGAAUUCCUGGUGGAGCGGUGGAAUGCGCAGAUAUCAGGAGGAACACCAGUGGCGAAGGCGGUUCUCUGGGCCUUUCCUGACGCUGAGGAGCGAAAGCGUGGGGAGCGAACAGGCUUAGAUACCCUGGUAGUCCACGCUGUAAACGGUGGGUACUAGGUGUGGGGUCCAUUCCACGGGUUCCGUGCCGUAGCUAACGCUUUAAGUACCCCGCCUGGGGAGUACGGCCGCAAGGCUAAAACUCAAAGGAAUUGACGGGGCCCCGCACAAGCGGCGGAGCAUGCGGAUUAAUUCGAUGCAACGCGUAGAACCUUACCUGGGUUUGACAUGGAUCGGGAGUGCUCAGAGAUGGGUGUGCCUCUUUUGGGGUCGGUUCACAGGUGGUGCAUGGCUGUCGUCAGCUCGUGUCGUGAGAUGUUGGGUUAAGUCCCGCAACGAGCGCAACCCUUGUUCACUGUUGCCAGCACGUUAUGGUGGGGACUCAGUGGAGACCGCCGGGGUCAACUCGGAGGAAGGUGGGGAUGACGUCAAGUCAUCAUGCCCCUUAUGUCCAGGGCUUCACGCAUGCUACAAUGGCUGGUACAGAGAGUGGCGAGCCUGUGAGGGUGAGCGAAUCUCGGAAAGCCGGUCUCAGUUCGGAUUGGGGUCUGCAACUCGACCUCAUGAAGUCGGAGUCGCUAGUAAUCGCAGAUCAGCAACGCUGCGGUGAAUACGUUCCCGGGGCU
rnacentral:rRNA from 1 species